UGGGGAAUAUUGCGCAAUGGGCGAAAGCCUGACGCAGCCAUGCCGCGUGUGUGAAGAAGGCUCUAGGGUUGUAAAGCACUUUCAAUGGGGAGGAAAUGUUCAGUGUUAAUAGCACUGAGAGUUGACGUUACCCAUAGAAGAAGGACCGGCUAACUCCGUGCCAGCAGCCGCGGUAAUACGGAGGGUCCAAGCGUUAAUCGGAAUUACUGGGCGUAAAGCGCGCGUAGGCGGUUUGUUAAGUCAGCUGUGAAAGCCCCGGGCUCAACCUGGGAAUUGCAGUUGAUACUGGCCGACUAGAGUACGAGAGAGGGAGGUAGAAUUCCACGUGUAGCGGUGAAAUGCGUAGAUAUGUGGAGGAAUACCGGUGGCGAAGGCGGCCUCCUGGCUCGAUACUGACGCUGAGGUGCGAAAGCGUGGGGAGCAAACAGGAUUAGAUACCCCCGUAGUCC
rnacentral:rRNA from 1 species